ACUACGGGCGGCAGCAGUGGGGAAUAUUGCACAAUGGGGGAAACCCUGAUGCAGCGACGCCGCGUGAGUGAAGAAGGAUUUCGGUACGUAAAGCUCUAUCAGCAGGGAAGAAAAUGACGGUACCUGACUAAGAAGCCCCGGCUAACUACGUGCCAGCAGCCGCGGUAAUACUUCGGGGGCAAGCGUUAUCGGGAUGUCCUGGGUGGAAAGGGAGCGGAGAAGGCAGCGAAAGUAUGGAGUGAAAUCCCAUGGCUUAACCAGGGAACUGCUUUGGAAACUGUGCAGCUAGAGUGCAGGAGAGGUAGGCGGAAUUCCUAGUGUAGCGUUGAAAUGCGUAGAUAUUAGGAGGAACACCAGUGGCGAAGGCGGAUUGCUAGACUGUAACUGACACUGAGGCACGAAAGCGUGGGGAGCAAACAGGAUUAGAUACCCUAGUAGUC
rnacentral:rRNA from 1 species